rnacentral:rRNA from 1 species
GUGCUUAACACAUGCAAGUCGAACGAUGAUGGGAGCUUGCUCCUGGAUUAGUGGCGAACGGGUGAGUAACACGUGAGUAACCUGCCCUUAACUCUGGGAUAAGCCUGGGAAACUGGGUCUAAUACCGGAUAUGACUCCUCAUCGCAUGGUGGGGGGUGGAAAGCUUUAUUGUGGUUUUGGAUGGACUCGCGGCCUAUCAGCUUGUUGGUGAGGUAAUGGCUUACCAAGGCGACGACGGGUAGCCGGCCUGAGAGGGUGACCGGCCACACUGGGACUGAGACACGGCCCAGACUCCUACGGGAGGCAGCAGUGGGGAAUAUUGCACAAUGGGCGCAAGCCUGAUGCAGCGACGCCGCGUGAGGGAUGACGGCCUUCGGGUUGUAAACCUCUUUCAGUAGGGAAGAAGCGAAAGUGACGGUACCUGCAGAAGAAGCGCCGGCUAACUACGUGCCAGCAGCCGCGGUAAUACGUAGGGCGCAAGCGUUAUCCGGAAUUAUUGGGCGUAAAGAGCUCGUAGGCGGUUUGUCGCGUCUGCCGUGAAAGUCCGGGGCUCAACUCCGGAUCUGCGGUGGGUACGGGCAGACUAGAGUGAUGUAGGGGAGACUGGAAUUCCUGGUGUAGCGGUGAAAUGCGCAGAUAUCAGGAGGAACACCGAUGGCGAAGGCAGGUCUCUGGGCAUUAAC